UCUCCGUUGGUGAACCAGCGGAGGGAUCAUUACAGAGUUAUACAACUCCCAUACCAUCUGUUAACCUACCCAGUUAUGCCUCGGCGUAAGCUCGGUUGGAGGCACCUGCAGCUACCCUGUAGUUGCGGACUGCCAACUCCAGCCGCGGCCCGCCGGCGGUACACUAAACUCUGUUUUAUUUUAUAUUCUGAGCGUCUUAUUUUAAUAAGUUAAAACUUUCAACAACGGAUCUCUUGGUUCUGGCAUCGAUGAAGAACGCAGC
rnacentral:misc_RNA from 1 species